rnacentral:rRNA from 1 species
GGCGGACGGGUGAGUAACGCGUGGGAACGUGCCCUUCUCUGCGGAAUAGCCACUGGAAACGGUGAGUAAUACCGCAUACGCCCUUCGGGGGAAAGAUUUAUCGGAGAAGGAUCGGCCCGCGUUAGAUUAGGUAGUUGGUGGGGUAAUGGCCUACCAAGCCUACGAUCUAUAGCUGGUUUGAGAGGAUGAUCAGCCACACUGGGACUGAGACACGGCCCAGACUCCUACGGGAGGCAGCAGUGGGGAAUCUUAGACAAUGGGCGCAAGCCUGAUCUAGCCAUGCCGCGUGAGUGAUGAAGGCCUUAGGGUCGUAAAGCUCUUUCGCUGGGGAAGAUAAUGACUGUACCCAGUAAAGAAACCCCGGCUAACUCCGUGCCAGCAGCCGCGGUAAUACGGAGGGGGUUAGCGUUGUUCGGAAUUACUGGGCGUAAAGCGCGCGUAGGCGGAUCAGAAAGUUGGGGGUGAAAUCCCGGGGCUCAACCUCGGAACUGCCUCCAAAACUCCUGGUCUUGAGUUCGAGAGAGGUGAGUGGAAUUCCGAGUGUAGAGGUGAAAUUCGUAGAUAUUCGGAGGAACACCAGUGGCGAAGGCGGCUCACUG